UGAAAGAAAAAUCAAUUAAUGAGUGGAUUCGUGGCCUACUGGAGUAAAAAAAAAAAGCCCUGUUUGCUUCAAAGCAUCUCUCACCAUUCUGCCCUAUUCCUUGAGCUGAAAGCAACCCUCAGAAUAACUCAGAUUUCUGAGGGACAUACUUCUGCUGACAUGAAACAUCCCAUAUCCUUUUAGCAGCCUGUGGUAUUAUGAACAUUUUGGAAUCAAACAAAAUCUCCCAAACUGCUCUGUCUGAAAGGAUCUUUUAGCAUCUCUUGAACUCUAACCUCUUUAGCUGGAAAAAAAAAAAAAAAAAAGAAAGAGAUCUGCUAAAAUUGUGACCUUUCACUGCUGGAGUGAUUUGAAAGCCUUGGCCUCACAGUCAGUUUCCAUGUUCUGUCUUUACUGCUACUGGUGAACCACAUUACAGUGUGAGACUGCUGUCCAGGCACACACAGCACAGCCUCUGCUUCAAGGGACUUGCAAUAAACUAUUUUGUUUACUGAUAAGUGCACAGAUGAUAUUACUUGCUCCAGGGUAUUCAUCUGGUCAAUGAAGAAGCUGUGUAACUGUUCUGCCCAACUGUUAAUCGUUUUGUUCUCUCACAAAAUGGAAUAUGAUAAAAAUAAAAUCUUUAUUUGAUCUUUCCAGGGAAAAGAUCCCCUUAAUUGCAAGUUUCCAGACUGGUGAUGAAGACAUAGCUUGUUCUGUUCCAAAUCCUUCAUCAACCAUAUAUCUUUAACUCAUUCUCUCCUUACCAGACACUUACAGGCUGUAGGUUGUGGGUGAUAAUAAGCUUUAUGCUUACUUGCUAAUGUUCCUUGUUUUGUCUGAUUACUGUUUCUGAGACCUCUUUCUUCUAGUUCCAAAGAAACUGUUUGCCAUCUUAUUUGCAUAAUUCUGUUUUAAUCUUUCCCCUUGGUUAAUAUUCUCUUCCUUGAUAAAGCUCUGCUUCACCUAAAAGAUUUCUGUCCACAAAGGUGAAACAAGUCUGUAAGUUAAUAUGGAUUUUCACUCAGCCACCCCCUCUCUCAUAGCCUGGAUUUUUACCCCAAUCUAAACAGGGUGAACCACCAAUUUUAUUCCCUACAAUUUCAAAAGAAGAAGAAAAUGUCUUUUUAAUUUUAUUUUUUUGUAUUAGACAAAUUUACAAGAAUAGAUUGAUUUUUGUUUCUUGAAGGGCAUCAUGUGCUUUACAGGAUAUUGAGAAAUCCCAACUCCAGCCAUGUGAAGGAUAAACCUACUGGUGCCUCAGGCAAUGCAAGUAAAGGACUUGCCAAACUCAAAUGUUUAUUCUUUUGGGAAUUUUUCCUAAGCACUGUAAUUUCACAAGAUGAUUCAGUUGCCCCAUGGCUUAUUUAUAAAACGUUAAAGUGUUAAAUACAAUUAGUAUAAGCAUCCUAAUCUCUCUAGAGACUCUUUGCUUAUAGUAUUGCUUGGAGCUUGUGUAAAAUAGUCUGGAAUAUUUAAUAUUUUCUGGUUUUGUUUGUUUUUGUUUUCUGAGCCUGAAUGAAAAAGGAAAUUUCAAAGACAAAGUAUUUUCUUGUUCUUUCAGGCUACUACAUUCUGCUGGUGAAGCUGAAAUAAACUGGCUCUGUCCUGGAGCAAUGAUGCAGUUUGGG